AGAGUUUGAUCCUGGCUCAGGACGAACGCUGGCGGCACGCUUAACACAUGCAAGUCGAACGAGAGAAGAGGAGCUUGCUUUUCUGAUCUAGUGGCGGACGGGUGAGUAACACGUGAGCAAUCUGCCUUUCAGAGGGGGAUACCGAUUGGAAACGAUCGUUAAUACCGCAUAACAUAAUUGAACCGCAUGAUUUGAUUAUCAAAGAUUUAUCGCUGAAAGAUGAGCUCGCGUCUGAUUAGCUAGUUGGUAAGGUAACGGCUUACCAAGGCGACGAUCAGUAGCCGGACUGAGAGGUUGAUCGGCCACAUUGGGACUGAGACACGGCCCAGACUCCUACGGGAGGCAGCAGUGGGGAAUAUUGCACAAUGGAGGAAACUCUGAUGCAGCGAUGCCGCGUGAGGGAAGAAGGUUUUAGGAUUGUAAACCUCUGUCUUCAGGGACGAAAAAAGACGGUACCUGAGGAGGAAGCUCCGGCUAACUACGUGCCAGCAGCCGCGGUAAUACGUAGGGAGCGAGCGUUGUCCGGAAUUACUGGGUGUAAAGGGAGCGUAGGCGGGAUCGCAAGUCAGAUGUGAAAACUAUGGGCUUAACCCAUAAACUGCAUUUGAAACUGUGGUUCUUGAGUGAAGUAGAGGUAAGCGGAAUUCCUAGUGUAGCGGUGAAAUGCGUAGAUAUUAGGAGGAACAUCAGUGGCGAAGGCGGCUUACUGGGCUUUAACUGACGCUGAGGCUCGAAAGCGUGGGGAGCAAACAGGAUUAGAUACCCUGGUAGUCCACGCCCUAAACGAUGAUUACUAGGUGUGGGGGGACUGACCCCUUCCGUGCCGCAGCAAACGCAAUAAGUAAUCCACCUGGGGAGUACGACCGCAAGGUUGAAACUCAAAGGAAUUGACGGGGGCCCGCACAAGCAGUGGAGUAUGUGGAUUAAUUCGAAGCAACGCGAAGAACCUUACCAGGUCUUGACAUCGUAUGCAUAGCUCAGAGAUGAGUGAAAUCUCUUCGGAGACAUAUAGACAGGUGGUGCAUGGUUGUCGUCAGCUCGUGUCGUGAGAUGUUGGGUUAAGUCCCGCAACGAGCGCAACCCUUACUGUUAGUUGCUACGCAAGAGCACUCUAGCAGGACUGCCGUUGACAAAACGGAGGAAGGUGGGGAUGACGUCAAAUCAUCAUGCCCCUUAUGACCUGGGCCUCACACGUACUACAAUGGCUGUCAACAGAGGGAAGCAAAGCCGCGAGGUGGAGCGAACCCCUAAAAGCAGUCUUAGUUCGGAUUGUAGGCUGCAACCCGCCUACAUGAAGUCGGAAUUGCUAGUAAUCGCAGAUCAGCAUGCUGCGGUGGAUACGUUCCCGGGCCUUGUACACACCGCCCGUCACGCCAUGGGAGUCGGUAACACCCGAAGCCUGUAGUCUAACCGCAAGGAGGACGCAGUCGAAGGUGGGAUUGAUGACUGGGGUGAAGUCGUAACAAGGUA
rnacentral:rRNA from 1 species